AUGGUGAGCGCCAGCACUAGCCGGAGCGGCUCGGGUCGCGCCGCUCAGAGGGGCGGCGGCGGCGCCCUGCCCGGGAGCCCGAGGGUGUCCGCGGCGGCGGCGGCGCAGCGCAGGUGGUGGGGGGCCUCGGGCCCGUCGCUGGAGCGAGUCGCCCUCGCCUUCUCCGUCGCCUCCGUGGCGCUCGCGCUCUCCUGCGCGCUCUACCUCUACGUCCUCCGCUACCUGGGGCGGAGCCAGGCCGUGGCCGGGUUCGUCGGGGAGGACCUCGGGGCGUGCGACGUGUUCGACGGCAACUGGGUCCCCGACGCUACCUACCCGCUCUACAACAGCUCUGAGUGCCCCUUCGCGGAGAAGGGGUUCAACUGCCUGGCCAAUGGCAGGGAGGACACCGGCUACCUCAAAUGGCGGUGGAGGCCGCGCCGCUGCGACGUGCCGAGGUUCACCGCCAGCGCCGCGCUUGAGCGGCUCAGGGGGAAGCGUGUCGUCUUCGUCGGGGAUUCCAUGAGCCGCACACAGUGGGAGUCCUUCAUCUGCAUGCUCAUGCCCGGGGUGGAGGAUCCCAAGACCGUCUACGAGGUGAACGGGAACGAGAUCAGCAAGACCAUACGGUUCCUGGGUGUGAAGUUUGCGUCCUUCGACCUCACCGUGGAGUUCUUCCGGUCCGUGUUCCUUGUCGAGCAGCGCCCUGCGCCCAGGCAUGCGCCCAAGAGGGUCAAAUCGACUCUGAGGCUGGACAAGAUGGAUAAUAUCAGUCGGAAAUGGGUGAACGCCGAUGUUCUGAUUUUCAACACCGGCCACUGGUGGACUCCCACCAAAUUGUUUAAUACGGGUUGCUAUUUUCAGGCUGGACGUGCUCUCAAACUAGGUACAACCAUUGAUGCUGCUUUCAGGAUGGCACUGCAGACUUGGGCUUCUUGGGUGGAAAAAAGAGUUGAUCUAAACCGAACACAUGUGUUCUUCCGCACAUAUGAGCCAUCUCAUUGGAGUGACUUGAACCAAACGAUAUGUGAAGUUACAGAAAAGCCUUCACCUGAGGCAAAAGGAAAUGACAAGAGUGAGCUUGGGGAUAUACUUGGUGAUGUUGUGGCGAGCAUGAAUGUUCCAAUUACUGUUCUAAAUGUAACUUUGAUGGGUGCCUUCAGAACAGAUGCUCAUGUUGGCGCUUGGAGUUAUCCUCCCACUAUACUUGAUUGCAGUCACUGGUGUCUCCCUGGAGUUCCAGAUGCUUGGAAUGAACUAGUAUUUUCAUACCUUUUUACAAAUGGUUGGCGAAAGAUGGCAGGGUGA
rnacentral:rRNA from 1 species